rnacentral:lncRNA from 1 species
UUUGCGGGUGCCGGCACGGGUGGCUGCACAGGUGCCAGCUUCCAGGCCUAGGCUGGUAACGGCUUGGGUGGGUGCACUGGUGAUGGCGUCCACGCUUAGGCAGGUACCGGCUUGGGUGGGUGCACUGGUGCCGCCUUCCAGGCCUCUUCUACUUUUGACUGUCAGGCUUGGCUGGUGCCGGCUUGGGUGGGUGCACUUGUACCGGCCUGGGUGGGUGCACAGGUGCCAGCAUCCAGACCUUGGCUGGUGUUGGCUUGGGUGGGUGCACUGGAGCCAGCAUCCAAGGGCUGCUGCCGGCUUCCUGGCUUUGGCUCGUGCCGGUUUCCAGGCCUUCUCUGAUUCCUGCUUCCAGGCCUUGGCUGGUGCCGGCUUGGGUGGGUGCACUGGUGCCUGCGUCCAGGCCUUGCCUAGUGACAUCUUCUAGGUCUUUGCCGGUGCUGGCUUGGGUGGGUGCACUUGUGUCGGUUUCCAGGGCUUGGCUGAUGCUGGCUUGGGUGGGUGCACUAGCGCCUAUUUCCAGGCCUUGGCUGGUGCGGGCUUCUGUUGGUGUACUGGUGCCAGCUUGGGUGGGUGCACAGGUGCUGGCUUCCAGGCCCUGUCUGA